rnacentral:rRNA from 1 species
AGUACGAUCGCAAGAUUAAAACUCAAAGGAAUUGACGGGGCCCCGCACAAGCAGCGGAGCAUGCGGCUUAAUUCGACGCAACGCGAAGAACCUUACCAAGGCUUGACAUAUACAGGAAUACGGCAGAGAUGUCGUAGCCGCAAGGUCUGUAUACAGGUGGUGCAUGGUUGUCGUCAGCUCGUGUCGUGAGAUGUUGGGUUAAGUCCCGCAACGAGCGCAACCCUCGUUCUGUGUUGCCAGCAUUUAGUUGGGGACUCACAGGAGACUGCCGGGGUUAACUCGGAGGAAGGUGGGGAUGACGUCAAAUCAUCAUGCCCCUUAUGUCUUGGGCUGCACGCAUGCUACAAUGGCUGGUACAAACGGCUGCGAUACCGCAAGGUGGAGCGAAUCCGAGAAAGCCAGUCUCAGUUCGGAUUGGGGUCUGCAACUCGACCCCAUGAAGUCGGAGUUGCUAGUAAUCGUAGAUCAGCAACGCUACGGUGAAUACGUUCCCGGGGCUUGUACACACCGCCCGUCACAUCACGAAAGUCGGUAACACCCAAAGUCAGUGGCCCAACCGCAAGGAGGGAGCUGCCAAAGGUGGGAUCGGUGAUUGGGAUG